GAUCCUGGCUCAGAUUGAACGCUGGCGGCAGGCUUAACACAUGCAAGUCGAACGGUAACGAUGAAGAAGCUUGCUUCUUUGAUGACGAGUGGCGGACGGGUGAGUAAUGCUUGGGAAUCUAGCUUAUGGAGGGGGAUAACUACGGGAAACUGUAGCUAAUACCGCGUAGAAUCGAGAGAUGAAAGUGUGGGACCUUCGGGCCACAUGCCAUAGGAUGAGCCCAAGUGGGAUUAGGUAGG
rnacentral:rRNA from 1 species